GUAGGCUGAAACUCGCCUACAUGAAGCUGGAGUUGCUAGUAAUCGCGAAUCAGAAUGUCGCGGUGAAUACGUUCCCGGGUCUUGUACACACCGCCCGUCACACCAUGAGAGUUGGCAACACCCGAAACCUGUGGGCUAACCGAAAGGAGGCAGCAGUCUAAGGUGGGGUCAGUGAUUGGGGUGAAGUCGUAACAAGGUAGC
rnacentral:rRNA from 1 species